AUACGCUUCAAAUUAUGUUAUGCAUUUUCGUUAUUGCAAAUCCUUAUUUUGUUAAAGGCGAGUACCACUACCGUCCACCGGUGCUACUCAGAGCUCAGUAAAGCUCAGGGCUAAGAGAGAUAUGAGCGGCACUUCAGGUCUUCUUCAGCUAUGGCAAGUUCCAUCCUCAUCACUGUUCUUCGGCCGUUCCAAAGGUCUGUACUUGGUUCCUGUGCGUGUUAUGUAUCCAAUGUCAUGUUUCUGUAAGCAAAUGCAAACUACUACUUAUGCAAUUGUUAAAGGAAGCUAUGUAUCAAAUCCACAGAACCAACAAGAAAACAAAGAAAAAUUGACACCUAAGGUAGAAAAUGUAGGUGCUUUUCAAAAAUUACCCAUGGUAAUGCCGUCUGUAGAUAUUCUACAUUCAGCACUGAGGAAAGCAAAGAGGGUCUCACCUACAAAGGGCAUUGCUAAUGCUGCAAAACGUGAGAGAAAUAAAGGCGCAAAACAACUUGACGCAUUAAUGAAGGAGUUGGCUGUGCCCUUGAGAACAUACAAAGAGAACUUCCCAAACAAAAAAUAUUUGCACCCUUAUGAAAGAUCUUUGAUUGAGUUAACGCUUGGAGAUGGAAACUAUGAAGAUGUAUUGGGAAAGUUAGAAGCUCUAAGGAAAAAGGUGGUAUCAGUUGGAAAGGAACAUGCAUCAUUAUGUGCUAAGUCAUUAUCUAAACGAGAAGCAGAGGAGCGACUGAAUGAGGGAUUGAAAAGAAUUGAGGAGAUAUUUGAUGGUGAUGGAAAAGCUGUCGAUGAACUAUUGAACAUUGCCAAGACAUUACGGGCAAUGCCAGUUGUCGAUCUGGAAACACCAACUCUCUGUCUUGUCGGUGCUCCCAAUGUCGGAAAAUCAUCUUUGGUUCGCGUACUUUCGACAGGGAAGCCUGAGAUCUGCAACUAUCCCUUCACUACUAGAGGAAUUCUGAUGGGUCAUAUUAAUUUGAGUUACCAGAAUUUUCAGGUUACUGAUACCCCUGGUAUCUUAAGAAGAGCUGAUGAGGAAAGGAAUAACUUGGAAAAGUUAACACUUGCUGUUCUCACUCAUUUGCCUACUGCAGUACUUUAUGUUCAUGAUUUAUCUGGAGAAUGUGGGAUGUCACCUUCUGAUCAGUUUGUGAUCUAUAAGGAAAUGCGAGAGAGAUUCAGCAGCCAUAUUUGGCUUGAUGUCGUGUCCAAAUGUGACUUACUGCAAGCAUCUCCUGUCAUCUUUGCAACAGAUGAUUGUAAUGUUGAUAACUUUGAGCUGGUGAGGUAUAGGAAGAUGGGACCUGAUGGAGCCCUAAAUGUGUCGGUAAAGAAUGAGAUUGGUCUUCAUGAGUUGAAGAAAAGAGUUUACGAGCUGCUUGUUUCUCAAUCAGAAAGGAUCAAAAAUCAAAAGAGCAAGGAGGAAGAGCUGGAAGUUCCAAGCUAGUUCGUCUAAUGAAAUUCCUAACAGAUCUCUAACCUGCUGGUAAUUAGCUGCAGGUUUUCGCGCUUGGUCCAAGAAUACGACAUGUUUCGAGGCGUAUUUCUCGGGUAUUUGGACAAUGAGGUGCUCUAUAAGAUAGACAGAUAUUCAGAUCAUUUGUCAAAUGUUGCAGAUGGGGUUGCCAUAUUCUGUAAGUUUUAGUUACAGCAAUCUUUGAUAAGUUCCUUUGGAAAAAUCUCUCAAAUGCUUUUUAAAUUUGAUUUAUUUUAUCUUUUUGGAUAUUUUGUAAAUGUUAUUAAAAAUUUCUCUUAUUUAGUGGAUGGAGAUAUAACAUUUGAAUUUUU